GGCUGCUCUUUAUCUCUGCUUUGUCAUGGUUUCCGUGGAGACAAGAGGGGAAGACAGAAGUUGAGGUGGAUGCAGUGGGCGGGCGCAUUUUGAGCAGCAAGAAGAGACUAUGGCCUCUAUACUGAAUGGUCUCUCCAGUAAAAGGUCAGCAUCCUCCACUCUGAUCUCCACCUUGGACCGGAAGCUGGAGAAGGCGCCGGGGUGCCCCAGGUCUUGUCUGAGUUCUCGUCGGACGCCCGCACUCUGCUCCAGUUUCCUCAGCGUACAUGGGGAGCGCCGUCCUGUUGGGCUUGUUUGGCCUUGUUCAGUGGAAAGUGCUGGGGAUAACGUGCUGCUGAAACCACGACUGUACCAGACCAAGUGAUACCAAAGGGAACUUCAUAGAGUUGGAUACGAAAGGUGCAUUUGUUUCCUCCUGUACUGAAGAUGUUCAGAAAAUUGAAGACUGCGGCAUU